CAAGGCAGAAAUGUUGAUGCCUUGAUUUUGUAUUGAUAAGCUGUGCCCUCUCUGUCUCAGAUCCAAAUAUGAUUUUCCUUUGCCCUAUAGGUAUUCUGGUGCCGCAUCCUGGAGCUAUCGACAGCAGCCCAAGCAAGUCACACCUGGAAAUGGAUACAUGAGGCAGUGAUGAACACUGAAGACACAAUGUGAUUGAGAAAAUCCUUCAAUCUGCUUUAAAAUUGUAGUUUAGGAUCCACCGGCCCUUUCUGAUGAAUCGAUAGUGAAAGCAAUGGAAGCUUCAACACAAGAGCUAACCUUGCGUGCAAGUUGAUGAUUAGUAGAGCUUACCUUGAUUCCAUAUUUAAUAAUAUUAGUGUUAAACUAAAUAUUGAUGUAUG